GGUUGGUUGGGCGGGGCAUCGGAGACAUUUUUUAAACUAGAUACCCCAAUGAUGAUUAUGGCCAAGUUUGGUUAAAUUUGGCCCAGUAGUUUCAGAGGAGAAGAUUUUUCUAAAAGAUUACUAAGAUUUACGAAAAAUGGUUAAAAAUUGACUAUAAAGGGCAAUAACUCCUAAAGUGGUCAACUGACCAUUUUGGUCAUGUUGACUUAUUUGUAGAUCUUACUUUGCUGAACAUUAUUGCUGUUUACAGUUUAUCUCUAUCUAUAAUAAUAUUCAAG
rnacentral:lncRNA from 1 species